GGUGUUGCGUAUGGGCGAUGUUUUCGCGGGCGUUGAGUUGGCGCAAGUUUCGCUGGAACGCGGCUGCAUAGACGGUUUCACACCGGUAUUGCCAAUUCUCGCUUGUGAGCGCAUUGUCGUGGAGUCGGGUUGUUUGGAAUCGCAGCCCAAAGCUGGUGGUAAACUUCACCUAAAGCUAAAUACGACCAAGAGACCGAUAGCAAACAAGUACCGUGAGGGAAAGUUGAAAAGCACUUUGAAAAGAGAGUGCAAGAGAACGUGAAACCGAUGUAAUGGAAGCGGAUGGAGCCAACGUAUCUAGUGCGUAUUCAUCUGUUKGGCUGUGUGGGCUUGGCGUUGGCAUUCCGCAAGGUUGUCGGCGUUGAGUUCUGUGCGGUUGAGCGGUGCAUUUGCGUACGGAGUGCGCUGAGCUGGUUGACUUUGUGGUUGGAGGCGUUCCUAGUGGACCAUCUUCGGACGGAAACCUGGGUUCGUUGAAGACUGUCGAGGUUGGCUGUUGAGGCGGUAGGCUAACGCGUGCGGUUGGUCUGAGUAGUGGUGCGGAUUGGUAGCACAUGUGUUGCCGGUUUGUGCUGUUGCUUGGGCCGGUUGUGUGCUCUGCUGCUCGCUCGGUGUCUGGUUGGUCACCCAUCCGACCCGUCUUGAAACACGGACCAAGGAGUUUAAGGUGUACGCGAGUCAAUGGGCCUGGAAAACCCAAAGGCGAAAUGAAAGUGAAAUGCAUAGUGUUUGUGGUGCGAUCGGUUAGUGUUUCGAUGCUGGCCGAGCAGCACCGCUCCGUUCCUGGUACUUGUACUGGUGCGGAAGCUGAGCGUACGCUUUGAGACCCGAAAGAUGGUGAACUAUGCCUGAACAGGAUGAAGCCAGAGGAAACUCUGGUGGAAGUCCGAAGCGGUUCUGACGUGCAAAUCGAUCGUCUGAUCUAGGU
rnacentral:rRNA from 1 species